CUUCCCCUAAUGGUGACUUACUGGAAGCAGCAGGCAUAAAGGGCUUAUAACUUUAGUUCGUGUACAGACGCUACACACCUCCUCUGCUCUACACAUCGUUGGGAACCCUUGAUAAAACAAGAUGUGAAGCAGAGCACUCUGGGUGUGACAGGCACAGAGGGCGCCGUGGGCUUCACCUGGCCCCUAGUCGAGGGAGUGCCCAGCCAGUUUAAAGUACAGCUGCUGGGGGGUUUAGUGGUCAGCAUCUUCUCGUGACCAUCAUGAAGAAACGAAAGAUUAAAAGGGCAAGGCACUAAGUGUGGGCAUGUCAUCAGGGAACACCGCGCGAUUACGGCCAAGAGCCACAGCUGCACGGCGGCACACAUGCUUUAUCCGUGGACUGUGUACGGAGGUUUCUGAAGAGUCACUCUCUUGACCCUGCUCCCCACAACAAAACAAGUGAAUUGGAGGUGGUUUAUACAAGACAGAAGUUCAAGAAAUUUCCAUUGUAAGGUGCGGCACAUCUGGAUGGAGGAUUUCAAUGAAUAUCCAAACGACAAUGAAAGGAUGCGUGGACUACAUCUUGAACUAGGAAAUCAAAAACGCAGUUUUACUAUAGAUAGCACUGCAAUGUGGGCAAAGCAGAGUAUCCGUGAAACAGGGCUUUGGCUGGGUUAAUAAUAAUAAUAAUACAUUUUACUUAUAACUCACUUUACAUUUGAAAAACAAAUCUCAAUGUGCACAUUAUCAUGUAAAAAAAUAAAAUAAAA